UGGGGAAUCUUGCGCAAUGCGCGAAAGCGUGACGCAGCAACGCCGCGUGGGGGAAGACGGCCUUCGGGUUGUAAACCCCUUUCAGUUGGGACGAAGCUUCGCCGGUGAAUAGCCGGCUGGAGUGACGGUACCUUCACAAGAAGCCCCGGCUAACUACGUGCCAGCAGCCGCGGUAAUACGUAGGGGGCUAGCGUUGUCCGGAAUCAUUGGGCGUAAAGCGCGUGUAGGCGGCUCGGUAAGUCCGCUGUGAAAGUCGGGGGCUCAACCCUCGGAUGCCGGUGGAUACUGUCGGGCUUGAGUACGGAAGAGGCGAGUGGAAUUCCUGGUGUAGCGGUGAAAUGCGCAGAUAUCAGGAGGAACACCAAUUGCGAAGGCAGCUCGCUGGGACGUUACUGACGCUGAGACGCGAAAGCGUGGGGAGCAAACA
rnacentral:rRNA from 1 species